rnacentral:rRNA from 1 species
ACUCCUACGGGAGGCAGCAGUGGGGAAUAUUGCACAAUGGGCGCAAGCCUGAUGCAGCCAUGCCGCGUGUAUGAAGAAGGCCUUCGGGUUGUAAAGUACUUUCAGCGGGGAGGAAGGCGAUAAGGUUAAUAACCUUGUCGAUUGACGUUACCCGCAGAAGAAGCACCGGCUAACUCCGUGCCAGCAGCCGCGGUAAUACGGAGGGUGCAAGCGUUAAUCGGAAUUACUGGGCGUAAAGCGCACGCAGGCGGUCUGUCAAGUCGGAUGUGAAAUCCCCGGGCUCAACCUGGGAACUGCAUUCGAAACUGGCAGGCUAGAGUCUUGUAGAGGGGGGUAGAAUUCCAGGUGUAGCGGUGAAAUGCGUAGAGAUCUGGAGGAAUACCGGUGGCGAAGGCGGCCCCCUGGACAAAGACUGACGCUCAGGUGCGAAAGCGUGGGGAGCAAACAGGAUUAGAAACCCGAGUAGUCCCAU